rnacentral:rRNA from 1 species
UGCCUACGGGACGCAGCAGUGGGGGAUAUUGCACAAUGGGGGGAACCCUGAUCCAGCGACGCCGCGUGAGUGAAGAAGUAUUUCGGUAUGUAAAGCUCUAUCCGCAGGGAAGAAAGAAAUGACGGUACCUGACUAAGAAGCCCCGGCUAACUACGUGCCAGCAGCCGCGGGAAUACGUAGGGGGCAAGCGUUAUCCGGAUUUACUGGGUGUAAAGGGAGCGUAGACGGCGAUGCAAGUCUGAAGUGAAAGGCGGGGGCCCAACCCCCGGACUGCUUUGGAAACUGGAUGGCUGGAGUGCA